rnacentral:rRNA from 1 species
UACGUAGGGGGCCAGCGUUGCUCGGAAUUACUGGGCGUAAAGGGUUCGUAGGCGGUGUGGCAAGUCGGGAGUGAAAUCUCUGGGCUCAACCCAGAGUCUGCUUCCGAAACUGCUGUGCUUGAGUGUGGGAGAGGCGCGUGGAAUUGCAGGUGUAGCGGUGAAAUGCGUAGAUAUCGGGAGGAACACCUGUGGCGAAAGCGGCUCACUGGACCACAACUGACGCUGAUGCGCGAAAGCUAGGGGAGCAAACAGG